rnacentral:lncRNA from 1 species
UUGGGCCAGGCCAGAUGGAGUCAAGUAACAAGUGACUGAGCGUCCAGAGGCUACAGGGCUGGGUGCUGCAGAGCUGCAGAGCUGCAAAUGUAUAGGAGGCAGAGGCAGGCAGAUUUCUGAUUGGAGGCCAGCCUGGUCUACAGAGGAAGUUCCAGGACAGCCAGGGCUAUACCAAAAACAAAACAAUACAAUCACCUGUAACUUUGGCUCUAAGGGAUCCAAUGCCCCCUUGUGGCCUCUGGGUCACUAGUGUCUGCCAUAGUUGAAAGGAAAGUGAACAGGAACACAAAGGUGGACUCUGGGCUGCUUCACACCAGAAGACUUGUCUGAGCUCAAGACGCCAACCUCCAGGCCACCCAAAAAAAGGAAAUUAUACUGGGACAGUAGGAAGUACCUGAUCAGCACAUGGCCCAUCGAUGGACUUGUCUGAGACGUCAUAGCACGUGUGAGAAAACUCCAAAAAACAAGUCUUUGACGUCAGCUUCCUCAAAACAUGGAAUUAUUCUUGGCAUGUGUCUUCAGGCCCCUCCCAGGUGUAGUGCACGGGGGAAGAAAUGUUCUCGGUACUGAUCCUGUAGAGAACCCCUCAUGGUGCUCCUGCUCUGCUCCUGGAAGUUGCAGAACCUGUUUAAACCUGGCCGAAUUCUGAUCGGCACCUCUAAUGACUCAAUAAACCCUUUAUUUCAAAGAUCCCUCUGUUUUGAGUCUUUGGUUUAAGGCACUACCUGGAUGGCCUGGCAAUGCCCUGCUUCCUGGGCACAGCAUGGACAAUGGAACAGUGACCUCUUCACAGAAGGAAGAGAAUGGAGAGCUUAUUAGCUGCAUUUACAUAGCUGUUAGUAAUUAAUUCUCCGAGAAUGUAACAGGGAGCCAGCCACUGCUGUUUGUGGCUGUACUGUGCAGUUUCAGAGGUUUAGCCAUUAUCAGUGUAUUGGAGAUGACAGUAAUUGGAUGAUCACCAAAAACAGCAGCAGCAGCAGUGGAAUGGAGUCAGCUAAAGCCUAGAGGGCUACAGAGGGCAGAGCUGGAGAAGUGACACAAGCCCUUUGGAAGAGCCCAGAUCAUAUGAACCCCAGAGAGUGGAACAAGAGACUGUGAAGCUGAAGUUGCUUUGGAGACCCCAAGAUAUUAGAGACAUCAGAGCUAAAGGAUACCUGCUGAGGAAAGCUGCUAACAAGAAGUGGAACCAGCCCAAGAGAAAUUGUGUUGCUGUCAACAAAGAUGAAAGUUGGACAUCAGACAAGGAGAUGCAGAGUUUGGAGUUUGCCCAGCUUGUUUUGGUCUUGCUUUGGUCUAGUAUUUCCUCACUGUAAUGUUUUGGAAUAUGUAUAUCCUGUGAUGUUGGAAGUAUGUGUUUUGCUUUUUGCUUUUGAUUUUAUAGGGGAUUACAAUUAAGGGAUUGCAUGAAUCUCAGAAGAAACUUUGAACUUCUAAACAUUGUUGAGACCGUGAUAAGACUGGGGAUUUUUGAAGCUGGGCUAGAUGUACUUUGCAUUAUGAUAUGCUAAGAGUAUAUGCUAUAGACUUGUUUGAUCAAGUCAAUGGGUACCAGGAAGUGGAAUGUGAUGGUUUAAAUAUGCUUGGCCCAUGGGAAGUGGUACUAUUAAGAGGUGUGACCUUGGGCUGGAGAGAUAUCUCAGUGGGUAAGAGCACUGACUGCUCUUCCGAAGGUCCUGAGUUCAAAUCCCAGAAACCACAUGGUGGCUCACAACUACCUGUAAUGAGAUCUAACGCCCUCUUCUGGUGUGUCUGAAGACAGCUACAGUGUACUUAUGUGUAAUAAUAAAUAAAUCUUA